UACGAAGGGGGGCUAGCGUUGCUCGGAAUGACUGGGCGUAAAGGGCGCGUAGGCGGCUUGCACAGUCAGGCGUGAAAUUCCUGGGCUCAACCUGGGGACUGCGCUUGAGACGUGUGGGCUUGAGUGGGGAAGAGGGUCGUGGAAUUCCCAGUGUAGAGGUGAAAUUCGUAGAUAUUGGGAAGAACACCGGUGGCGAAGGCGGCGACCUGGUCCUUGACUGACGCUGAGGCGCGAAAGCGUGGGGGAGCAAACAGG
rnacentral:rRNA from 1 species